GCGUGGGGCGGUGGGAUUCUUCCCACCCGAGAGCUCAGAGAGGGUGCGUCGGGCCAGCUUCACGCCUGCCCCCGCAUUUGAAGGACGCAGAGCUGGGGUGGGGGUGGGGGGCGCACACGGAUUUGUCCUCCGCCUCGCUCAAGGGGGCGACCUGGGCUGCAGUUAGGUUGUCGCCUGCAGGAGGUGUGCUGUUGAGGGAGAGGAAAACCGUCCGAGGAGAGGCCAGGAGGAAUGUGGUGGUGGAGGUGGAGGAUUGUGGUAUGUGGUCAGGAGUGAGAAGAAAUAGUAAGGCCGUCCCGGUGAGGGAGAAAUGUAACCUAAAACCUGUCUCUGCUGUUGUUGGAUUGGGUCACCCCUGGUCUAUGGCAUGAAAGUUUUAUUGGGAGGAGAUCUGCUGCAAGAGUCUGAUUGCUUGGGUCAGUGCAACAGGACAGAAUCUAGUCGCUGCAUACCUCCUUCCCUGUCCUCAAUCAGGAUCAAGUCUUCCAUACCAGGGACCAGGCCAAAACCAGACUGCCACUGCCCCUACUUGGGCCCCACUGUCCCCAGAAAGCAGCUGCUGUGAUCAU
rnacentral:lncRNA from 1 species